rnacentral:ncRNA from 1 species
UUGAGCUGUACGAGAUGAAAGUCUCAUAUACAGUUCUCGAGGGGGAUCGCACCUAUCUCAAU